rnacentral:lncRNA from 1 species
GGAUUUGCCGCCGCGCUUGGGAAGCCGCCACCGCCGCCGCUGCUGCAUGGCACUAGGCUCCCGGCGGGGCAGGUUCCGCAGCCGGCACCGCUCUGGCUAGGCGCACGGAGGCGCCUUGCUUAGUCUGACCCUUAUUUGGCCAGGCGUAAAACUUGUCCUGCCUAAAAGCCUACUGAGACCUCCUAACUGGUCUAAUCCGCGGGAGACGCCAAAGGCGGCGGCCGUUUGUGCGCACAGGAUUUUUCUUGGAGCUGUAGCAGUCUAGGAAGCCAGGGUGGAACUUUUGCUAAGCUCCCGUUGUAAGCCCAGAGCUGUAAUAACUGCUGAGACACAACCAGCAGUAUACAGGCUCCAGUUGGAAAUCGAGAACUUUCCAGGGCUGUCACCCAGGCUGGAGUGCAGUGGUGCCAUCACAGCUCACUGCAGCCUCGACCUCCUAGGCUAAAGUGAUCCUCCCAACUCAGCCUCCCGUAGCUGGGACUACAGGAAUGUGCCACGCCCAGAUGGUAAACUCCUGCAAAGCAGAUUGUUUGGUUCUUCUUCCUUCACGGUGCCUGACCCAUCGUUCUGCAGAUAUUAGGUCUCCUGGAUGUACUUGUAAGCACCUAUCUUGGCCUACCUGAUGGCUGCCACCAGACAGAAAGGAAAGAGUCUUACUCCCCACCUGGAAGCUCUUAAAAAAAGACUGCUGAGGCCUAGGCGGGUGGAUCACGAGGUCAAGAGAUCAAGACCAUCCUGGCUAACAUGGUGAAACCUCGUCUCUACUAAAAAUACAAAAAUUAACUGGUCGUGGUGGUGCACACCUACAGUCCCAGCUACUCGGGAGGCUGAGGCAGGAGAAUCUCUUGAACCUGGAGAUGGAGGUUGCAGUGAGCCGAGAUCGCACCACUGCACUCCAGCAUGGCAACAGAGUGAGACUCUGUUUCAAAAAAAAAAAAAAAAAAAGAAAGAAAGAAAAAAGAAAGACUGCUGGGCACCAUCCUCAGAGUUACUGAUUCAGGAAGUCUGGCUGGAGUGGGGCCUGAGAAAUUUCUUUUCUAACAACUUAGUUAUUGAUCCAGAACCCAGCUUUGGGAACUGCCACUUUAUUAUUUCAUAAACUUCACUGGAAGAGAGAUUGUGCCUAUGUAUCCACCAUUCUAUCACCUGUGCCUAGUAUGUUUAUGGCAUGAAUGAAUCUCUUUUGGAUGAAAAAGUGAUGGUGAAACCCUGUCUCAUUCAUAGUGAAAACACAUACAGAACAUUGGAAACCUUCACCCAGCUCAUUAAAGAUAAUGCUUGCCAAUGAACCACAACAAAUAACAUUGGUUUAGGGAUCUCUGCUACUAUAGACCCUAGAGUAUCUGGGGCAUUUCUCAUGAAAGUUCUGAUUAGUUUUUCCUGAGGCACUACUUUAUGGUAAUAAAAUUGGCAUUCCAUCAACAGGUUGAUCGACUGUUCAGGCUUCCCUUCAAGGUGGCUUGAAAUAGCAGAAGCAAUAGUCUCUUUUAAAUAAAUAAAAUUUUUUUAAUACAUAAAGUCUCUCUUAAAGGGCCAUCUGCUUUCAAUUUUUCAUUUAAACCUUCUGAAGGCUCACCAAGUGCCAUAAGAUAAAGAGAGCAAAAGUAAGGUGUAGCAUCACAGGCAAUAAUAUUCCUAUCAUUGCCAAAGUACUAUAGGGA